AAUGAACGCUGGCGGCAUGCCUAAUACAUGCAAGUCGAACGAACCCUCCAGGUCCUUUCUCCUCCGACUUUGUAGCCGGACGGAUCCUUACCACAGGUUUGGCCUAACUCUCAGACUGGGGUACCUACACGGGACCAUGGCUACGAACGAAUGAUAUAUCGCACUUGGUUGUUCCCGCGUGGAAUUAGGUUUUUCUUAGGGUAAAAGCCUACUACGGCGACCAUCCAUAGCUGGGUUGAGAGGAUGCUCAGCCACACUGAGACUGAGACACGGCCUAGACUCCUACGGGAGGCAGCAGUGGGGAAUAUUGGACAAUGGGCGAAAGCAUGAUCCAGCAAUGCCGCGUGAGUGAUGAAGGCCUUAGGGUUGUAAAGCUCUUUUAACCGGGAUGAUAAUAACAGUACCGGGAGAAUAAGCUCCGGCUAACUCCGUG
rnacentral:rRNA from 1 species